rnacentral:rRNA from 1 species
GUCUUUUUGUAAAUAAUUUAAAGUCUAAUCUGCCCACUGAUAAUAUUAAAGGGCUGCAGUAUAAUGACUGUACAAAGGUAGCAUAAUCAUUAGUUUUUUAAUUGAAAACUUGUAUGAAAGAUUUGAUGAAAUAUAAACUGUCUCUUAAUUAUUAUUAAAAAUUUAUUUUUUAGUUAAAAAGCUAAAAUAAUUUUGAAAGACGAGAAGACCCUAUAGAGUUUUAUAUUUAAUUUUAUUUUAAUAAUAAGUUAAAAUUAAUAUAAAAAUAAAAUUAAAUAUUUUAUUGGGGUGAUAGAAAAAUUUAAUUAACUUUUUUUAAAAUAUAAACAUAAAUAAAUGAUUAAAUGAUCCAUUUAUAAUGAUUAUAAGAAAAAAUUACCUUAGGGAUAACAGCGUAAUAUUUUUUUUUAGUUCAAAUAAAAAAAAAAGUUUGCGACCUCGAUGUUGGAUUAAGAUAAAAUUUAAAUGCAAAAGUUUAAAAUUUUGAUCUGUUCGAUCAUUAAAAUCUU